CACGUAGGAGGCGAGCGUUGUCCGGAAUCAUUGGGCGUAAAGAGCGCGCAGGCGGCUUGGCAAGUCGGGUGUGAAAUCCCGGGGCUCAACCCCGGGACUGCAUUCGAUACUGUCAGGCUAGAGGUAGGUAGGGGAGAUCGGAAUUCCUGGUGUAGCGGUGAAAUGCGCAGAUAUCAGGAGGAACACCUGCGGCGAAGGCGGGUUGCUGGGCUGACACUGACGCUGAAGCGCGAAAGCUAGGGGAGCGAACGGG
rnacentral:rRNA from 1 species